AACUGAACUUGCUUCUUCCUUGAAAAAUGAAAUCAGACUCAUUUGUUUCCAAUACAAAUCAUUUAUGUCCUUGAACUUAAUGAAGGUGGGGAAAAUCAAUCUACUACCACUGCUUUAAUUCAAACGGACCAAACACUUCUCUUUCUCACUUUCUCUCUCUUAAUUUAAAGCUAUUAUGUAACUCUACUUUGUUUUUCUUCCAUUUCUAGCAAACUGGGUUUUUUUGCUACACUGUCAAUCAUUUCUCAUGAGAAUUUGCUAACUUUUAUUCCCAGUAUUGAGAUCUGUUGCUAAAUUCACACGGGUGAAUGGUGAAAUGACGAAGAUAAUGUUGAAGCUCAGGGAGUACUGCGUAAUGAUGGUGGGCACUUUAUCUGCCUUUUUUCCUCUCCCAUUCCUCCCUUGGAAGUUCGAAUGGUGUGGCUGACUCAUUGGCUAAACAAGGAUUAAGGAGGAAUGAUGAAUUUGUGGCUUGGUGUUAAAGCCUACUUCAGCGCAAACAUGAAAUAGUAACUGGACAAAAAAUGUAAUUUCAUUUCUCUUGUGGUUGAGGAACUCUGAUUUGUCUACUAACUAUGUAAUAGAUCCUGUUCUUGAUCUUAUUCAGCCUUCGAGCUUUAAUAAAAUUGCUCCAAUUAUCAAAAAAAAAAAAAAUCUACAUUCAAUUUUUGUAGAAAUUUAUCAUCUGAAUAACCAAUCUAAACUUUUAGUUUUUC